GUCAAGUCAUCAUGGCCCUUAUGUCCAGGGCUACACACGUGCUACAAUGGGCGGUACAACAGGAAGCGAGUCUGCGAGGAUUAAGCAAACCCUGAAAAGCCGGCCGUAGUUCGGAUUGAAGUCUGAAACCCGACUUCAUGAAGGUGGAAUCGCUAGUAAUCGCGCAUCAGCAUGGCGCGGUGAAUACGUUCCCGGGCCUU
rnacentral:rRNA from 1 species